rnacentral:rRNA from 1 species
ACCCAAAUUUUUAUCCAGGUUGACCUCGGAUCAGGUAGGGAUACCCGCUGAACUUAAGCAUAUCAAUAAGCGGAGGAAAAGAAACCAACAGGGAUUGCCCCAGUAACGGCGAGUGAAGCGGCAAAGAGC